rnacentral:rRNA from 1 species
AACAAACGCUGGCGGCGUGCUUAAUACAUGCAAGUCGAACGGGGAAAGCUUUCGGGUGAGUACUAGUGGCGCACAGGUGAGUAACGCGUGGAUAAUCUGCCUUAGAGUGGGGGAUAACUAGUCGAAAGAUUAGCUAAUACCGCAUAAGACCACAAGAACUGCGGUUCAAGGGGUCAAAGGUUUUUCGCUCUAAGAUGAGUCCGCGUAAGAUUAGCUAGUUGGUAGGGUAACGGCCUACCAAGGCGACGAUCUUUAACUGGUCUGAGAGGAUGAUCAGUCACACUGGAACUGAGAUACGGUCCAGACUCCUACGGGAGGCAGCAGUAGGGAAUAUUGCACAAUGAGGAAACUCUGAUGCAGCGACGCCGCGUGAGUGAUGAAGGCCUUCGGGUCGUAAAGCUCUGUCGCAGGGGAAUAACACAAUGAAGGUACCCUGUAAGAAAGGAUCGGCUAACUUCGUGCCAGCCGCCGCGGUAAGAC